GAUCAUUACAGAGUUACCUAACUCCAAACCCAUGUGAACUUACCUAUGUUGCCUCGGCGGGGAAGCCUACCCGGUACCUACCCUGUAGCUACCCGGGAGCGAGCUACCCUGUAGCCCGCUGCAGGCCUACCCGCCGGUGGACACUUAAACUCUUGUUUUUUCUAGUGAUUAUCUGAGUGUUUAUACUUAAUAAGUUAAAACUUUCAACAACGGAUCUCUUGGUUCUGGCAUCGAUGAAGAACGCAGCGAAAUGCGAUAAGUAAUGUGAAUUGCAGAAUUCAGUGAAUCAUCGAAUCUUUGAACGCACAUUGCGCCCAUUAGUAUUCUAGUGGGCAUGCCUGUUCGAGCGUCAUUUCGACCUUCAAGCCCUAGCUGCUUGGUGUUGGGAGCCUAUCUCCGGAUAGCUCCUGAAAAGCAUUGGCGGAGUCGCGGUGACCCCAAGCGUAGUAAUUCUUCUCGCUUUAGGUGUGUCACGGCUGACGUCUUGCCGUUAAACCCCCAAUUU
rnacentral:rRNA from 1 species